rnacentral:rRNA from 1 species
ACGUAGGUGGCAAGCGUUGUCCGGAAUUACUGGGUGAAAAGGGAGGGCAGGCGGGGGGAAAAGUCAGCUGUGAAAACUAUGGGCUUAACCCAUAAACUGCAGUUGAAACUGUUUUUCUUGAGUGGAGUAGAGGUAGGCGUAAUUCCGAGUGUAGCGGUGAAAUGCGUAGAUAUUCGGAGGAACACCAGUGGCGAAGGCGGCCUACUGGGCUCUAACUGACGCUGAUGCUCGAAAGUGUGGGGAGCAAACAG